UUUUCUAGGAGCUUUUUAUCCAGUUUCUUGUCCGCAGCCUCUACCCCAGGCUGGGUGCCCAGGCGGUCUCCGGAGAGGAGGGGGAGGAGGAGGAGGAGGAGGAGGAGGAGGAGGAGGAGGAGGAGGAGGAGGGGGGGGGAGGAGGAGGAGAGGGGGUAGGAAGGAAGAGGAGGGAGCCGAGGAAGACGCGGAGCCUCCACCCGCCAGCCGGGAGCACUUGCAGCAGGUGCAGGAGGCUGGGCCCCGGGUUUGCACUCUGCGGCGGUGCCUGGGCCUCAGGAAGCCGACCCGGGAAGACCCGCCAGCCCGAAAAAAGUGAGCUGGAGAGAGGAAUAGAAGCGCCGGUUUCUGCUUAUUAUUCGCUGUUUCUGAUGGCCAAGAGCAAGGGGCAGUCAAGGCCAUUAAUGCAGAACUGGAAUUCAGCGAGGAGCGCCUCUUCUGCAGACUGCCCCCCGCUAGGGCGCGGGGAGGGCACCGGUUCCUCUGCGCGGAAAGGAGGGGGAGAAAGUCGCUAAGAGAAAAAUCCGGUGUGGCCCAGAUCUCCGGGUGCACAUUCCCGGGAGAGGAGCGCGCCGUUUCCAGCGCGGUGCAGCGCUCCGAGCGGCGGCCACCAGCGACCCAGCGCGCGAGCACAACGCGACCCACGAAGGGGGCUCGCGGGAGGCACCAAGAAGCACCGGCGCAUCAGAGCGGAGAACCCGCAGCCGAACCUUGCCGGGGCGCACCCAGCACCGGGGCGGGGGCCAGGACUUCGCUUCCACCGCAUGGGAUGAGCUGUGCAAGGUGGAGGAAGGCGGCGCAGAGCCGGGGGACGAAGCCCGGACCGGACAGGAAUCCCGGGGAGAAAGAAGGGGGCCCCAGCCUGGCCAGGAGGGGCAUUUUUGUCAGAGGGGGUAUUGGGGGAGUCCCUGAGCGCCGCGGGUUCCAGGGGGGCAGCGCGGACGCCCAUUCCCUGUUCUCCCCCGAGAGAAGCCGUUCCCGUGGGGCAGGAAGGGCUCUCAGCUCUUUGAGAUUGAGAUUCACAGGAAUCUAA
rnacentral:lncRNA from 12 species